rnacentral:rRNA from 1 species
UAGGGAAUCUUCCACAAUGGACGCAAGUCUGAUGGAGCAACGCCGCGUGAGUGAAGAAGGCUUUCGGGUCGUAAAACUCUGUUAUUGAAGAAGAACGUGCGUGACAGUAACUGGUCAUGCAGUGACGGUAUUCAAUCAGAAAGUCACGGCUAACUACGUGCCAGCAGCCGCGGUAAUACGUAGGUGGCAAGCGUUGUCCGGAUUUAUUGGGCGUAAAGCGAGUGCAGGCGGUCUUUUAAGUCUGAUGUGAAAGCCUUCGGCUUAACCGAAGAAGGGCAUCGGAAACUGG